rnacentral:lncRNA from 1 species
UUUUUUUUUUUUUUCUUUGGUUUUACAAGAGCUAGCCUGGUUUGUAGGCACAUUGAGGGUAAAAGUAGAAAAAAAAAAAAAGCCUACAUUACUUCCAUAGCUCCUUACUGAAGACCACAUUCUCUGGUGCCUCGGUGCCUCCUUCCUCUUUGAUCCAGCUUAAACUGAAGGUUUUAACAUAAUACUCAUAAUCCUUCAAGGAAAUCUAAGGCUCUGAAAGAAAUGCAAAAAAUUAUUGCCCUUGCUACUUUUCUACUUCUCUUUUUUGUAUAUGCAGCUUGGGAUUAAAAGCAGCUGCUCUUUGUUUUUGUUUGCGUAACACCCAAAUCAGCAGAUUUGGUCCAUCUCUGGGUUUUCUAUAUUCUGCUGAAAAGCCUGCAUUUUCUAGGCAACCAUCACUCUUGCAUUCCUGCAGGAGCCCAGACUGAAUCUGCCUGCCUGAAGGCAGCAGCAGGUGCUUUGUUCUUGCACUCUCCUUUCCCUCAUGCCACUUCUGAAAUGACACAGCUGUCCUUACAAGCGAUCUCUGAUUCCAUUUGUGUCAUCUGCACCAGCCUGGAAAGCAGUAUAUUCCCACUGCUUGUACAAACAGCUACAUGGUAGUGCUCACUGUAUCCCAUGGCAGGGGGACUGGAGCCCUUUCUUGUCUCUUUUAACCCAAACCGUUCUGAUAAAACGAUUCUGUGAUUUUACUGCAGUUCUUAAGCAAAAUCUCAGACACUCGUAUGAAUAGAACUGCUUUAAAUGGGGGGAUCACUUUGCCCCAGAGGUUUUGUGAAAUAAACUUCUGUUGUAUAGUAUUGUAAAACAAGAAGCUCUGAAAGCAUUUCUCCAUUGGUUUUACAUCAUAUUGUCCUUUCCUUGAUUUCCAUGUAGUCUCCUGUUUCCUACAAGCUUCAAAUUUAAAAAUUCUUUCCAUCAAGAACAUACAAGAAAGCUGCUGCUUGACCACAGCUCUUGAAUUUAGAGAUGUGUUGCUGUUCCUUCCCUGGAGCAGUCCUGACUGUUAACAGAGCAUUGUGUGCCACUCAGUGCCUGACCCCAAGACUGGCCCCGUGCAAAUAAUCAAAAUUUCCCACAGAAUAAAGUUCUGCUCAUUCUGAAUGAAAAAGCAGGUCCUUCAUUAACUUUAUUGCCUUUUGCUCAUGCUAUUCUUAUGAGAGUAGUCCCCAGAUGGCACUGUUUGGCCAUUUAAUGUGAUUUUUUUCUUGUCUGCUUUUUUUUUUUUUUUUAAGUUCAUAUGCAAUGUAGUCUUUGAAGAAAUGCUACAGAUUCUCUCCACACAGAAGGAAGGGACUGCUUCCUAGGAGCCAUGGCUUGAUGAUGGGAUUAUUUAUUUCUUCUUGUUUUUAGGGUCUUCCCCCACAGAAAUGGCUUCAUUCCUUUUGAAUAUCAGUGUUCCACAAUUCUCAGCUCUUCCUUCCAUGACAGAUCUCCUCUUUCACCUUAGAAUGUUAAGUAUUGCAGGCAGCAAGAAGCUGACAGCGAGGCCCUGCUGCACUUGGCUAAGUGGCAUAUCCUGAAGCAUCAUACUCACAACCUGCCAUCCUUUGCAGCUCCAGAUACCCACACUUAUACUGUCAGGAUGUUUAUCUUUCUUUCCUUUUCUUAAUGUCUUUCUUAAUUACUGUUGAGUCACACUUCACCUACUUAUAGGAAAACCGACUUUGAUACAUUUUUUCACCAGACAGAGUUUCAAGCUGGUAAGGAACUUUUAAACUGUUAACAAUAACUAAGAUUGGUACCACUAUGGGUUGAGAAAAAGCUGAAAAACAGUUUUUUCUUGGUGCAUUCAGUACUCAGGAAGGGGACCCAGAACCAGAUAAAAAUAGGGUAACACAAUGGACAGAAAUACCCAGAGAAGGAUGACAUCCAUAGUGGCAGUGAAACCUGUUCUUGGGUGGAAAGGAUUAACUUCUCAUCUAGUAAGGGAAAUUAUGAGCUUCAGAAGGAAUGAAUGUGUCUUUUCAGUCAAGUCAUGUUAACACAACAAAAUGAGGGAGACAAAUUUAUAGGUACUCUGCUUGGGAUUCUGAGGAAUAGCUGAUCAAUAGAAGUCAAAGGUGGAAUGUGAACGAGGGAUCUUCGAUAUGCUGAGGGUGGAAAUUCACAGCUUCCUAACAAUUGUAAUUCAUCCUCUUGGAACAACCUAAGAAGCCCAAAUAACAACAACAUGGAGUGUUUUAAGGAAGCCAGCAUGUAAGAUGAGAGGAAAAUGAUGAGGUGCGGCCUCUUCAUCUAUUUCCUUGUGCCAUUUUCCUUGAAAAAAAAGAGAUGUGAUUUUUUUGUAGUUCAUUCUUCCUUGUAGAAUUUUUGGGACUGAGCUUAAUCGCUAUUACAAGCAAAAUAAUAGAAAAAGACCCCUUCAAAAACAAACCAGAGGGGGGGGAAAAAAAAUCUUGAUCUGCUGUUGUACCUAUUACACUGUGUGGUUUUGGUGUUCUGCCUAUGUUGAUAAUUAACUUCACAGUAGAGUCUGCUGCAGUUUAAAAUAGAGUGUGCAAGGAAGACUCCUACUUCAGUAAAAGAGGAUAUGCAGAUGCCUGUCCUAGUAAUACAGGCAUUCAAGGAAUAGAAAACCUUUCUUACUACGGGCUGAAUAGAAAUCUCAUCUUCUCCACAGUUUUUGAUUAUUUGUUUUAGUAAUUCUUGUCCUCAUUGAAAGCUUUCAAAAUUUAUUAAAAUGGACACAAAACUACUGGUUUUUAUUUUUAUUUUUCUACUGUCAGGAGCACUGGUGAUCUUUGACCAUCUUCCAAAAGCUCAGCUGGUUCCAGAGUUGCUGAGACCCAAGUCUCAUUCUCCAUCUACAUUUUGAGAACACAGGCACUGAGAACAGCCUAAGUAAGGGAGAAAUCCUGCUGAAGCUUUGUUUCAUUUGAUGGAUAUGCCAGAAGAUGUCUUGUUAAAAAAAAAAAAAAAAAAAAA